rnacentral:misc_RNA from 1 species
GAGUUGAGUUGAGUUGAGUUGAGUUGAGUUGAGUUGAGUUGAGUUGAGUUGAGUU